UAAAGUAUUGGUACAUUACUAUAAAGUAUUGGUACAUUACUAUAAGGUAUUGGUACAUUACUAUAAGGUAUUGGUACAUUACUAUAAAGUAUUGGUACAUUACUAUAAAGUAUUGGUACAUUACUAUAAGGUAUUGGUACAUUACUAUAAGGUAUUGGUACAUUACUAUAAGGUAUUGGUACAUUACUAUAAAGUAUUGGUACAUUACUAUAAAGUAUUGGUACAUUACUAUAAGGUAUUGGUACAUUACUAUAAAGUAUUGGUACAUUACUAUAAAGUAUUGGUACAUUACUAUAAAGUAUUGGUACAUUACUAUAAGGUAUUGGUACAUUAGUAGAAGGUAUUUGUCACGACUGAACUAUGGACCAGAACCCAAAUGCACAACUGUCAGACGAAAGUUUCAAAAUAAAGUUUUUAUUAACAAGCAGAAAAUCACUCUUAUGAGGUAAUGCUAAGACUAAGAAAACAAACAGAAAAUCACUCUUAAACAAACAAAACAACAAGACCUGAAAAUGGCAGUGGUAUAGAUAAAGUGCUGGUUCUCUGACACAUGGGACAAGACAAACUGGCACAGGACAAAGGGAGACACGGACUAUAUAUACACACAAGGUAAGGGCACAGGUGGAAACAAUCAGGGCGGAGACAGGUAAUCCCAAGAGUGGGAAAACAGACAAAAGGGAGAAAGUAAAACUGGUGACAAGAGACAGACAGGAAGUGGAACCAAAAUAAAACAGGAAAUCACAAGACAACAUAGACACGAGACAAAACUGAAUGAAUUAACUUAACAAAGUUUCCUGGACAUGACAGUAUUGGUACAUUAGUAUAAGGUAUUGGUACAUUAUAAUAACGUAUUGGUACAUUAUAAUAAGGCAUUGGUACAUUAUAAUAACGUAUUGGUACUUUAUAAUAAGGUAUUGGUACUUUAUAAUAAGGUAUUGGUACUUUAUAAUAAGGUAUUGGUACAUUAUAAUAAGGUAUUGGUACUUUAUAAUAAGGCAUUGGUACAAUAAUAUAAGGUAUUGGUACUUUAUAAUAAGGUAUUGGUACUUUAUAAUAAGGUAUUGGUACAUUAUAAUAAGGCAUUGGUACAAUAAUAUAAGGUAUUGGUACUUUAUAAUAAGGUAUUGGUACAUUAUAAUAAGGUAUUGGUACUUUAUAAUAAGGUCUUGGUACUUUAUAAUAAGGUAUUGGUACA